GCCUACGGCCAUACCACCCUGAAAGCCCCGAUCUCGUCUGAUCUCGGAAGCUAAGCAGGGACGGCUGCUUAGUACCUGGAUGGGAGACCGCCUGAAUACCAGGUGUUGUAGGCU
rnacentral:rRNA from 1 species